rnacentral:rRNA from 1 species
GACGAACGCUGGCGGCGUGCCUAAUACAUGCAAGUUGAGCGCUGAAGGUUGGUACUUGUACCAACUGGAUGAGCAGCGAACGGGUGAGUAACGCGUGGGGAAUCUGCCUUUGAGCGGGGGACAACAUUUGGAAACGAAUGCUAAUACCGCAUAAAAACUUUAAACACAAGUUUUAAGUUUGAAAGAUGCAAUUGCAUCACUCAAAGAUGAUCCCGCGUUGUAUUAGCUAGUUGGUGAGGUAAAGGCUCACCAAGGCGAUGAUACAUAGCCGACCUGAGAGGGUGAUCGGCCACAUUGGGACUGAGACACGGCCCAAACUCCUACGGGAGGCAGCAGUAGGGAAUCUUCGGCAAUGGACGAAAGUCUGACCGAGCAACGCCGCGUGAGUGAAGAAGGUUUUCGGAUCGUAAAACUCUGUUGGUAGAGAAGAACGUUGGUGAGAGUGGAAAGCUCAUCAAGUGACGGUAACUACCCAGAAAGGGACGGCUAACUACGUGCCAGCAGCCGCGGUAAUACGUAGGUCCCGAGCGUUGUCCGGAUUUAUUGGGCGUAAAGCGAGCGCAGGUGGUUUAUUAAGUCUGGUGUAAAAGGCAGUGGCUCAACCAUUGUAUGCAUUGGAAACUGGUAGACUUGAGUGCAGGAGAGGAGAGUGGAAUUCCAUGU